AUUGAACGCUGGCGGCAGGCCUAACACAUGCAAGUCGAGCGAGAGGCGGACGGGUGAGUAAUGUCUGGGAAACUGCCUGAUGGAGGGGGAGAACUACUGGAAACGGUAGCUAAUACCGCCUACCCUCUGCUGUGCCCCGAUGGGGUUAGCUAGUAGGUGGGGUAAUGGCUCACCUAGGCGACGAUCCCUAGCUGGGCUGCGAGGAUGACCAGCAACACUGGAACGGAGCCAGGGCCCAGACUCCUAGGGGAGGCAGCAGUGGGAAAGAUUGCACAAGGGGCGCAAGCCGGAGGAGGCCAGGCCGCGUGGAUGAAGAAGGCCUUGGGGUUGUAAGGUACGUUCAGCGGGGAGGCGUUACCCGCAGAAGAAGCACCGGCUAACUCCGUGCCAGCAGCCGCGGUAAUAC
rnacentral:rRNA from 1 species